CCGGCACCGGUUCACCUCGUGCGUCGCGUGAGGACCCGGGCC
ncrna:unclassified sequences L31-Actinobacteria ribosomal protein leader